UCGGCCUCUCGGUUCAGCCCAGGACCCCAGCAUUUCCAGGCUUCUUUCCUGGUCCCAGGAAACGUGAACCAAAGAUGGUUCAGCUCAGCAGACCACCUCGAGCCAGGUUCGAGGUAUCCACGGCGGCGAGUCUUUUUUGCUCAAGGGAAAGUUAAACCAUGCUUUUUGCAGAAUGGGGAGAUCGUGGCGCCCCUUCCCUCAAAUCUCACGCAGGAUAAAUAAGGUUCUCCCGCUCCCCAGGCCAUCGCCACUAUCCCCCACCCUACCCCCACUCGGCGAUGGGUGUGGACAGGGCGGGGGAAGGCUAUAAGGGAGCUUAAAGCGUGAGGUCAUGGACCCAGGAGUCUGCUGCCAAAAGCGGCCGAGGUUUUUGUGUAUUUUGAGGGGUAACGGUUCUCCAUCUUCAACAGUGAAUAAAGCCAAGCUCUGAAGCCCCCUUGUGAUUUCGCCUCUACGGACCACUUCACCCUCACAGCUCCUCCUCCUAUACCAUGCAGACAGAAGUGGAGGAUCAGAGAGAUUACAUAACUUGUUCCAAUUUUCAUCCAGGCCAACCUGAGCCCGAAACCUCUGUCUUAACCACUUGCCUCUCUCUGCAACAAAGAAAAAAUUCUGGGAGCCUGAGGAGAAGGAAUAAAAUAGAGUCUUUGGACUUGAGCAGACCUUAGUUCAAAUUCUGAGUCUGGCCCCCACCAGCAAUGAGAUCUUGGAGAGGUUUCUUAACUUCUCUCAGCCCCAGGUCACCCACCUUUGAACUGGGACCAUACAUUUUUCAUUGGCUUAAUGUAAAGGUCAAAUGCAUGUAAAUAAUGCUUUUUAAAAUGCCUAGUAAACCACAUGCAAUGUUUAGAUCUUGUGUGGCUCUGGUUUGAAUAAACCAAUGUCAAAAAGACAUUGUUGAGACAACUAGGGUAAUAAAAUGUAACUUGACAUAGAUGUUAAAUUAUUAAUUUUAUUAGAUAUGGUAAUGGCGUUGUCAUUAGGAUUUUUUCCUCAGUUCUUAUCUGUUAGAGAUGCAUAAUGAGGAAUUUUGGGCGAAAGUAUAUCUAGGAUUUAUCUUCAAAUACUCCAAUCACCUCU